GGAUUAGAUACCCUGGUAGUCCACGCCCUAAACGAUGUGUGCUAGAUGUCGGGGGACUUGUCCCUUGGUGUCGGAGCUAACGUGUUAAGCACACCGCCUGGGGAGUACGGUCGCAAGAUUAAAACUCAAAGGAAUUGACGGGGGCCCGCACAAGCGGUGGAGCAUGUGGUUUAAUUCGACGCAACGCGCAGAACCUUACCAGCUCUUGACAUGAUGGCCGCGGUUCCGAGAGAUCGGUUCUUUCCUUCGGGAGGUCAUUACAGGUGCUGCAUGGCUGUCGUCAGCUCGUGCCG
rnacentral:rRNA from 1 species